AGUCGAAGUGGUUAGAGAACCUAUCCAGUUACAACUACAAUGCAAUACGGCCAUUCUCUAAUACAAUACUCUUAAUCACAUUGUUUGAGUGAUAGUUUGUUUCAUGUCUACUAUCCAAUGUGAUACUUCUCUAUAUGAUUCAAUUGAAUAUGAUUUGGAACAAACUUCCUAACUCAUAUUCAUAUGCUUUGGCCAAAGACUCUCGAAUCAUAUCUUAGAGUAUUCUCCUUCUACUAUGGAAGGUUAGAGAUCCCUUGUUGUGCAUUCAUAUGCCUACAUGACUAGAUAGCUUGACCCCAACAAUGCCAUGGACAUUCUCAAUGGAAUGCCUUUGACAUGAUCAAAGAUCAAGGACCUAACCAUUAGACAUCUAUGAUACCUCAGGUCAAAGGACUACUUUGCAUAUUGCAACUUACGAGUUCUUACAUGACAUGUAUGUUCGAACU
rnacentral:lncRNA from 1 species